UACGGAGGGGGCUAGCGUUGUUCGGAAUUACUGGGCGUAAAGCGCACGUAGGCGGCUUUGUAAGUUAGAGGUGAAAGCCCCGGAGCUCAACUCCGGAAUUGCCUUUAAGACUGCAUCGCUCGAAUCAUGGAGAGGUGAGUGGAAUUCCGAGUGUAGAGGUGAAAUUCGUAGAUAUUCGGAAGAACACCAGUGGCGAAGGCGACUCACUGGACAUGUAUUGACGCUGAGGUGCGAAAGCGUGGGGAGCAAACAGG
rnacentral:rRNA from 1 species